ACGGAGGCCUACUGGUUUGUUUCCCAGGGAAACCCAGCAGGCAGGGCUGGGCUGGCUAGGACAGGGGCUGCGGGACAGUGGAAAGGACUUCUUACCCUCAGGGCAACACGCUUCCUUGGCCAAGCCAUAGAGCAGAGAGAGAGACACAAACCUAGAGUCCUUCCUCUCUUUCUUCUCCACUCCACCCUCAGGUGUCCAGGCCAAGGACAGGACCAGCACUGAUUGGUUUAGGCUUUGAUUACUGCCCACCUCUGAAGCCAUUGGUGAAUGACUGGAAUGCUGAUGAGUGGUUCUGGCCAAUUGACGCCUCUUUCUUGGAGCUAUAGUGCUUUUUUCCUCACCUCUCCCAAAGAGGGACCAGUGCAGCUUGGUGAUUAAGACUGUUCCACCCUGGGCUUCUCCACCCGCCAGCUGUAAGACUUGAGUGGGAAUUCUAACGCAUUUUGCAGCGGUUCCACAACUACAGAAAAUUAUCCACUAGCCACUCUUAGGCUGCAAGAGAAAUGAAGCGAGAGAUUCCUCUGUCCAGAUAAACACCCGUGGGAUUUCUGUCCACGAGCUGGAGAACUUUUCCACAAAAGCAAUUUCUCAUUUUUUAAGAAACACUAGCUCACACAGAGGACUGUGGAUCCUCUAGGGAGAACCUUUCUCUCAGUUUUUCUGAAGUUCUGACGUGGGUGUGUGGGGCCACCUGAGCCUAAUGGUGAUGAUGUAGACUUUUGGGAGAGAGGGGAGGGAGGGAUGGGGGAAGAUGGGUUGCUGGUCAGGACGGGACAGCCCAGUGGCAUGCUGCCACCUCAACCAGCGCUCUACUUGCAAUAAAACAGGUAACUUAUCGAUCAGUGGGAAAAAAUCUGUAAUGAGUUAAUUUAGGAACUUCGAAAUGUGUCAGAACUUUAUUUCCAAGUGCCUUCUUCCCAGUAUGAGAACAUUAGUUUUUU